GGCCAAUUGCUACCCAGAGACCGCCACCGACGUGAAAGACCGACAAGAGACAGUCUUGAAUCUUGAUCCAACUGAGAUUAACCUCAAAGAACGAUCCAGUGGCAGUGAGAGGCGGAAUAGAAAGGAAGGGGUUGCCCCACUGAGAGCGAGCAUGGACCCACUGGGCAGAAUGGACUCCUGUGCAGUAUAUCAGUCAAUGCUGCCCGUCCCACUGAGGAUCCACAGGAUUUCCUGUCUUAACUGCAGGGUAUAAAUUCAGUCUACUUAAUCUCUUGACAUUCACCACCCAGGAAUCAGCCUGGUGAACCUCCACCACCCCCUCUCUAUCACAACUGCUCCCCUCCUUAAGUAGGAACACAAGACCAAUACACAGUAUCCUGGAUGUUGUCUCACUGAGGGUCUAUGUAAUGGGGAAAGAUAUCUCUACCUUUGUACUCAAAGCCUUUUACAAUUAAGGCCAACAUAACAUUUAUUUUCCUAUUGUCUGCUAAACUCACUAACGUUUCGUGAUCACAUACAAAGAAUCCCAGAUUCCAUUUUCAAUCUCAUAGCGUUUAUAUAUCCUCUGCCUCUCUGUAGUUUGUAGCAAAGUUGAGGAAUUGAACUUUUUCCAUCCACAAGUCAUGUUGUUGCACUUUCAUUUAAGCUAUCUAUAUACCCCCCACCCCAAAGCCCCUCACUACAACCCAUACUGCCACCUAGCUUUGGGAUGGAGGGAAGGGGCUUGUUUUCCUGUUGUUUUGUCGAGUAUUAUGGCAUGCUACUGUAUGUUGGUGUUGGAAAGUGUGGCAACAUUUGCAGGCUGUCCCCAG